rnacentral:rRNA from 1 species
AGAGUUUGAUCCUGGCUCAGGACGAACGCUGGCGGCGCGCCUAACACAUGCAAGUCGAACGAGCGAGAGAGAGCUUGCUUUCUCGAGCGAGUGGCGAACGGGUGAGUAACGCGUGAGGAACCUGCCUCAAAGAGGGGGACAACAGUUGGAAACGACUGCUAAUACCGCAUAAGCCCACAGGUCGGCAUCGACCAGUGGGAAAAGGAGCAAUCCGCUUUGAGAUGGCCUCGCGUCCGAUUAGCUAGUUGGUGAGGUAAUGGCCCACCAAGGCGACGAUCGGUAGCCGGACUGAGAGGUUGAACGGCCACAUUGGGACUGAGACACGGCCCAGACUCCUACGGGAGGCAGCAGUGGGGAAUAUUGCACAAUGGGGGAAACCCUGAUGCAGCGACGCCGCGUGGAGGAAGAAGGUCUUCGGAUUGUAAACUCCUGUUGUUGAGGAAGAUAAUGACGGUACUCAACAAGGAAGUGACGGCUAACUACGUGCCAGCAGCCGCGGUAAAACGUAGGUCACAAGCGUUGUCCGGAAUUACUGGGUGUAAAGGGAGCGCAGGCGGGAAGACAAGUUGGAAGUGAAAUCUAUGGGCUCAACCCAUAAACUGCUUUCAAAACUGUUUUUCUUGAGUAGUGCAGAGGUAGGCGGAAUUCCCGGUGUAGCGGUGGAAUGCGCAGAUAUCGGGUGGAACACCGGUGGCGAAGGCGGCCCUCUGGGCCGAGACCGACGCUGAGGCGCGAAAGCUGGGGGAGCGAACAGGAUUAGAUACCCUGGUAGUCCCAGCCGUAAACGAUGGAAGAUAGUAGUGGGGGGAAGAUCCCCACCGGGCAGCAGCCAUCGCAUAAAGCGUCCCGCCUGGGGGAGUACGGCCGCAAGGCUAAAACUCAAAGGAAUUGGCGGGGGCCCGCACAAGCAGCGGAGCAUGUGGCUUAAUUUGAAGCAACGCGAAGAACCUUUACCAGGUCUUGGCAUCCGAUAGCAUAAGGGCAGAGAUGCAUGAAGUCCUUCGGGACAUCGAGACAGGUGGUGCAUGGUUGUCGUCAGCUCGUGUCGUGAGAUGUUGGGUUAAGUCCCGCGACGAGCGCAACCCUUAUUGCCAGUUACUACGUAAGAGGACUCUGGCGAGACUGCCGUUGACAAAACGGAGGAAGGUGGGGAUGACGUCAAAUCAUCAUGCCCUUUAUGACCUGGGCUACACACGUACUACAAUGGCGUUUAACAAAGAGAAGCAAGACCGCGAGGUGGAGCAAAACUCAGAAACAACGUCCCAGUUCGGACUGCAGGCUGCAACUCGCCUGCACGAAGUCGGAAUUGCUAGUAAUCGCAGAUCAGCAUGCUGCGGUGAAUACGUUCCCGGGCCUUGCACACACCGCCCGUCA